AUCACCUCCUCUGUUUGACACUCCCUGUGUCCCUGGCUUCUGGGACUUGGCACCUGAAGGUGUGCCUCCUGCCUCAGAGAUAGCUUCUUCAUUCCCUUUGCCUACAGCAUCAGCUCCUGCCCAGGCUCACCCCUGCCUGUAUCACCUCAUAUCUACCGAUUUCCAAAACAUCCUCUCUGCUUCAGACCAGUCCUUUCAUGGUCCCAGGCCACACCUGUGAGAAGCAGUAGAGCCCGCUGGUUCUCCUGACCAACCAGCACAAUCUGUUUGAAGCUCAUGGAGUGGUGGAAGGUCAUCUUGAAGACCCGCUGCCC